rfam:Providencia rettgeri strain MR4 P_rettgeri_contig_645, whole genome shotgun sequence.
UUCCACGUCAUUGGGGAGUAGCCUGUUCUGGAAAUAUAUAUAUAUUCCAGAAAGUCCGUAUCAACAUACUCGUUUGAUUUCAAACGUGGUGCGGACACCAUAAUCUGGUUGGCAAGACCAUAGACACAUAAAUACGACCUUAGGUUGGGGGUAGGUUUAUGUGUAUAUGGAAACACCCAACCGAGGUUAUGUU